CAUUGUCGAAUCCUGUACAACAGAACAUCCCGCGAACUGUUAAACUGUACCCAUUUCGAACGGGCAGCCUUGACGGUCAAGCAUCGUACGGGCCUCCCGGUCGAAUAACCAAACUAAAACCCGGCGCGGCUUGCGCCAAGGAAAAUUGAACGGAAAUGACGCACCGGAUGAGCACAUCACUCCGGCGGCGUCGAUUUCUAGUGAGUGUUGAACGACUCUCGGCAACGGAUAUCUCGGCUCUCGCAUCGAUGAAGAACGUAGCGAAAUGCGAUACUUGGUGUGAAUUGCAGAAUCCCGUGAACCAUUGAGUUUUUGAACGCAAGUUGCGCCCGAGGCCACUCGGUCGAGGGCACGCCUGCCUGGGCGUCACGCAAACGCCACUCUCAACCCUAUUGGGUGCAUGCUAAUGAGAGCGGAAGUUGGCCUCCCGCGGCUCCGUCUGCGGUCGGCUGAAAUAGCUUUGCCCUCCCGUGGCUUCUCGACACGAGGUCGAUAGAACCUUUCGUUGCGAUCGGACAACGUGAUCGGAAGCACGGCGGAAAAAACCCUUUCAUCACAUGCGACCCCAGGUCAGGCGGGACAACCCGCUGAGUUUAAGCAUAUC
rnacentral:rRNA from 1 species